rnacentral:rRNA from 1 species
GUGAGGAAUAUUGGUCAAUGGGCGCAGGCCUGAACCAGCCAAGUAGCGUGAAGGAUGAAGGCUCUAUGGGUCGUAAACUUCUUUUAUAUGGGAAUAAAGUUUUCCACGUGUGGAAUUUUGUAUGUACCAUAUGAAUAAGGAUCGGCUAACUCCGUGCCAGCAGCCGCGGUAAUACGGAGGAUCCGAGCGUUAUCCGGAUUUAUUGGGUUUAAAGGGAGCGUAGGUGGAUUGUUAAGUCAGUUGUGAAAGUUUGCGGCUCAACCGUAAAAUUGCAGUUGAAACUGGCAGUCUUGAGUACAGUAGAGGUGGGCGGAAUUCGUGGUGUAGCGGUGAAAUGCUUAGAUAUCACGAAGAACUCCGAUUGCGAAGGCAGCUCACUAGACUGUUACUGACACUGAUGCUCGAAAGUGUGGGUAUCAAACAGGAUUAGAUACCCUUGUAGUCC